UACGUAGGGUGCGAGCGUUAAUCGGAAUUACUGGGCGUAAAGGGCCAGUAGGCGGCCAACUAAGUCCGACGUGAAAUCCCCAGGCUUAACCUGGGAACUGCGUCGGAUACUGGAUGGCUUGAAUUCGGGAGAGGGAUGCAGAAUUCCAGGUGUAGCGGUGAAAUGCGUAGAUAUCUGGAGGAAUACCGGUGGCGAAGGCGGCAUCCUGGACCGACAUUGACGCUGAACGGGCGAAAAGCUAAGGGGAGCAAACGGG
rnacentral:rRNA from 1 species